rnacentral:rRNA from 1 species
AAGAUUAAUACCGCAUAAUAUGUUUUUAUCGCAUGGUAGAAACAUCAAAGGAGCAAUCCACUAUAAGAUGGACCCGCGGCGCAUUAGCUAGUUGGUGAGGUAAUGGCCCACCAAGGCGACGAUGCGUAGCCGACCUGAGAGGGUGAUCGGCCACAUUGGAACUGAGACACGGUCCAGACUCCUACGGGAGGCAGCAGUGGGGAAUAUUGCGCAAUGGGGGAAACCCUGACGCAGCAACGCCGCGUGAAUGAAGAAGGCCUUAGGGUUGUAAAGUUCUGUUUUCUGGGACGAUAAUGACGGUACCAGAGGAGGAAGCCACGGCUAACUACGUGCCAGCAGCCGCGGUAAUACGUAGGUGGCAAGCGUUGUCCGGAUUUACUGGGCGUAAAGGAUGCGUAGGCGGAUGUUUAAGUGAGAUGUGAAAUACCCGGGCUCAACUUGGGUGCUGCAUUUCAAACUGGAUAUCUAGAGUGCAGGAGAGGAAAGCGGAAUUCCUAGUGUAGCGGUGAAAUGCGUAGAGAUUAGGAAGAACACCAGUGGCGAAGGCGGCUUUCUGGACUGUAACUGACGCUGAGGCAUGAAAGCGUGGGGAGCAAACAGGAUUAGAUACCCUGGUAGUCCACGCCGUAAACGAUGAGUACUAGGUGUAGGAGGUAUCG